rnacentral:lncRNA from 1 species
CUGAGUACAACAGGCCAUAUGCAUGAGUUGCACUUGCCGAUGACAUGGAGAAUGAACCAAUCAAAAUGUGACACGUGUAAUUUUUCCAUAAGAAUUUGACACAUGUAAUUAACAAAAAAAUAAAUUUAAAAGAGUAAAGAAACUUCUUCUCCUAAAACCAGCGCUCCCCCUUACCCUAACUCUUCUUCCAAUCUUUCCCAAACCCUUCCCCUUACUCGUUGAACCCAUGAGCACCAUUCCAUUUGCAAAAGAUCGGGCAGUGAAAUAUUUAGAUUGAACUUGGAAGGUUCUAAUAACCAAAAAUAAUAGUAGUGGAUUUCAUAAGAACCCAAAGUUAAGUGCACUAAUCAUCUUUUUCCUUCUUCCAAGUUCCAAAUACCUAUGCCUCCCUCCGUAUUCAUUUUCAACAAUUCCAAUCUGAAAAAAUAUAGUAGGUGACAGAUCUGGAGCGGGAGUGAAGGCUGACGAUCGUCACCAUUUUUCGGCCUAUUCAACCACGAAGAUUUUUUCGGUGAAUUUAUUUGUUUUCUGCUUUUGGCAUCUUGCUGGUCUUGGGAUAUUGGCGAUAAUAGUUUGAAAAAGCUGCAGAAAAAGAAGAGGGAGUGGGGCCGCCAACUGGCCGGCCCGUGGGAUUUCCUACAACGACAUCAUCAUCGACUGACUAGUGAAAUGGGCAGAAAUAGAACGGGGGCAACUGCCAUGUCUUUGUUUUAUUCUUGUUUUUCAUCUAUGGUCAAUGUUUGCCAAUUUUUUGUUGGAGAGUGACGGGGUCUGGCAUUGGUUUGCUUUGGGUUUUCUUGUUUUUCAUCAAUGGUGAAAUUUGUUUUGAAGAAGGUUAAGUAAAGAUGAAGGUAAGUGGAUCCACAGAAAUAAAGGUUACUUUUUAAGCUGAAAAGAAAAAGGAAAGAAUAGAAUUCAAGUCCUCAAACUCAAUUUGUAGUGAGACACAACUGAUUUGCCAUGUCAGCACAAGGUGUUUACUUGAUAUACUUAUAAGUACCUGAAGUAUUUAACUAGAAUAGGCUUCGUUGAGGUGUUUAGUUGAUCGUUGGGGACAACAUAAAGAUGCACUUUAUGUAUUUAUCCUAUUUCAUAACUUUUCUCGGAUUCCAAGACGUGGGCCCCGCAUCGACUUUUGGUUGAGUUCGGGUUGGAAUUAUAAAUUCGACCUUUACUACUUAGAAUUUUUUCCUUAGGCAUUAAUUGAUGUAAUUGAGUUUCAUUUGGAUAGUUUUGAGUCAUUCGACGGUUGAUAUGUGCAAAAUGGAGUUUCUGGAGUAUUGUUUGGCUGCUCGGUAUUGGAUUUAGCUUGUUUGAGGUAAGUAACAAUUCUAAACUUGGUGCUGAGGGUAUGAAACCCUGAUUAUACGUGUUAUAUUGUUGGCUUGGAG